rnacentral:rRNA from 1 species
UAGACGCUGGCGGCAGGCUUAACACAUGCAAGUCGAGCGGGGAAAAGUAGCUUGCUACUUGACCUAGCGGCGGACGGGUGAGUAAUGCUUAGGAAUCUGCCUAUUAGUGGGGGACAACAUCUCGAAAGGGAUGCUAAUACCGCAUACGUCCUACGGGAGAAAGCAGGGGACCUUCGGGCCUUGCGCUAAUAGAUGAGCCUAAGUCGGAUUAGCUAGUUGGUGGGGUAAAGGCCUACCAAGGCGACGAUCUGUAGCGGGUCUGAGAGGAUGAUCCGCCACACUGGGACUGAGACACGGCCCAGACUCCUACGGGAGGCAGCAGUGGGGAAUAUUGGACAAUGGGGGGAACCCUGAUCCAGCCAUGCCGCGUGUGUGAAGAAGGCCUUUUGGUUGUAAAGCACUUUAAGCGAGGAGGAGGCUACCGAGAUUAAUACUCUUGGAUAGUGGACGUUACUCGCAGAAUAAGCACCGGCUAACUCUGUGCCAGCAGCCGCGGUAAUACAGAGGGUGCAAGCGUUAAUCGGAUUUACUGGGCGUAAAGCGCGCGUAGGUGGCCAAUUAAGUCAAAUGUGAAAUCCCCGAGCUUAACUUGGGAAUUGCAUUCGAUACUGGUUGGCUAGAGUAUGGGAGAGGAUGGUAGAAUUCCAGGUGUAGCGGUGAAAUGCGUAGAGAUCUGGAGGAAUACCGAGGCGAAGGCAGCCACGGCCUAAUACUGACACUGAGGUGCGAAAGC